CAUCAAACUCAAGGUAGAUCCAAAAUCUGUUCAGAAGGUAUGAGGAGCAAGUCGAAAACAACCGACGCUUAACUCAACAAAAUGCAAUCUUGACUCAACAAAAUGCAGCCUUGACUCGUCAUGUGAAGCGGACUGAUCGUGUAGUUGAGCUCAUUGCUCAAAAGGUACAGAUAGAGAUACCACCUGACAUGCUUGAGGAAGAAGAAAAUGACAUAAGAGGGACUGGAUAUGGAUCCUCUCAUGCUUCAGCUAACUUGGACAGUAAUAGCGAUGGUCAUUGAGUUGCCUGGUAUGUUUGGUGAUGGCUGCUAUCUUUUGUUCAUGGUCCCUUGCAGCAUGGCAGAACCCCGCAAGCGCGAAGAGCGUCUU